GGACAGAUUCAGGCCAAGGCGCCCCGUCCCACCCGCCCCCUCAAGAAGGGGCGCCGUCCAUCACCCCCCUGCCAGCCAGCGGGACGCCCCUGGAGGUCGGCAGGGCUGGGAGGCCAGAGCCCUCCACCCUCUGCUUCUCCCUCCUGAGCUGGAGAAAAAUGCUGAGGCAGAGAUUUGACUCUGGACGAAGAACCGGAGGACGUCUAUAUUCCAACCCCAUCCAGAAAGAAAGAGGAAAGCAGAACGAGCUUUUGACCAAUAUUGAUGAUCCUCGUGUACAGUUUUACACAGCGACGGCUGGAGGAGCCUCCUGCAGACGAGCUUCUGAGCCUGUGCAUGUGAGACUUACUUCUCCUGACCACCCACAGCGGGUACCCUUGGACUGACGCUUAUCUCUGGACCUGCAUCCUGCAGUCCUGGGGCUGGGCCAGUAGACGCAGUGUGUGGUGGAGACACUCACAGAAGCCACGCGCCAUCAAGGGUGUUCAGCAGUAAGUCGGAGAGGAGAGGGCUAGAAACCACCCAUUUAUCCCCUUGUUUCCCCAGCCCCACUCAUCCCUUCCCUGGAGCCUGCAUGCCCUGCAGCCACUCCAGCUCACCCUCCAAAGGAAGAAGACGCUAGUUCAUCUUCGUUAAAUGAUCUUAUGUUUGCAACUUUUAUUGCACAUGGUCACAUGAGCACAUUGUGAAGGGUCGCUCAAGAAACUUACGUGCGUGUGGACCAUUUCCUGAGGGAUUCACCUGGCCCCCGGAAGGAGCCCAAGUAAUGAAGGGUCCUGAAGCUUGAGCUCUGUUGGUUUUAUGGUGAAUCUGCCUUAGACAUCUAUCUAGUCAUUCGGGAUUUUGUUGUUGUUAAUUUUAAAAGGGUCUGCUCUGUGUCAAACAUAUCCAGAGCUCCAUGAGGGGCAGGAGUGGUGCUGGCUUGUCAUCUGCAUCCCCCCGAACCCUCCCCACUCCACAAAGGGCGCGCUGGCACUCAGCUGUCCUGGGGCGCUGGUCUAGUCUGUAAGGGCCUCGGAGGCAAGCAGGGAGCAGGUCACGAUAUGCGCUGAGAGAGCGAAGGACUGCAGUGCUGGCAGCAAGUCAGGCUGUCUCAAAUUCUUCACUUUCAAUACAGUUACAGGAAAACCUAAUUAUCAGCUGGUGGAUCAUUAAAAAUAAUUUUGGUGAUUGAUCAUUUCAUGAUUUUUGGCAUAUAACUCAGAACAAGUUAAAAGAAUUGAGUGACAUCACCUUGACAAAUCUUUUACUUAUUACUUAUUUAUAUGAAUAGGACUUCUUUAUAAAAAAAUUAGUAAAAAUAAUUAUUGCCAACUCAUUUCUUAUUCUAACAAUAAGUAGCCCACAAAUUCAAUGAAAAAUUACACACAUACACUCACACGAAAA
ensembl:lncRNA